rnacentral:rRNA from 1 species
AUUGAACGCUAGCGGGAUGCCUUACACAUGCAAGUCGAACGGCAGCACGGACUUCGGUCUGGUGGCGAGUGGCGAACGGGUGAGUAAUGUAUCGGAACGUGCCUAGUAGCGGGGGAUAACUACGCGAAAGCGUAGCUAAUACCGCAUACGCCCUACGGGGGAAAGCAGGGGAUCGCAAGACCUUGCACUAUUAGAGCGGCCGAUAUCGGAUUAGCUAGUUGGUGGGGUAACGGCUCACCAAGGCGACGAUCCGUAGCUGGUUUGAGAGGACGACCAGCCACACUGGGACUGAGACACGGCCCAGACUCCUACGGGAGGCAGCAGUGGGGAAUUUUGGACAAUGGGGGAAACCCUGAUCCAGCCAUCCCGCGUGUGCGAUGAAGGCCUUCGGGUUGUAAAGCACUUUUGGCAGGAAAGAAACGUCAUGGGCUAAUACCCCGUGAAACUGAC